CAAUUCUGCAACUCGAGCGACGCCG
rnacentral:piRNA from 1 species